AUCCGCAUUAACAAGGACUGCAUUUUCGUGAAAACAAAGGUAUACAAAACAAAUAUCAAUCAGUUAACAACAGGGAUACAUUACCAUAAACAUGUACAUUCUCACCGGCUAUCCGCAUUAACAAGGACUGCAUUUUCGUGAACUAUUCAAGGAAGUUGAAUCUGAAAUUAACGUCAGCAAGGAGAGGCGAAUUAGUAGUGAUCUUCUGAUUAGCUAAAUCACUGUAAAUGUGAUUGGAUAUUUGCUUUCUAUAGACAUUUUGUUAGAGUUUGACAAAGGUAAAUUCUUGCUAGGGGUUAUUAUAUGCUCCGUUGAUGUAUCAGAAGCAGUAGAAAACGUAAGGAUGAUAUAUUAAUACGGCGACCCACGUAAUCAACUAUUCAGUUCCAUUGCAGUCAUCAUUCUUUACAGGAACAUACGCAAUAUCAAGCAAAAUAGAAGAAUAAACGAGGAGAAAAAAUAAUAACUCGGUACAUGCUCUAUAUCGUACAGAAAUACAAAAGGAGUGAUGCGUAUUUACAUAUUAUAGAGAAAAUGUUUGAAAAUGUACGAUAAUAUACUCAGAAACAUGAAUUAUUUACGUCAGUCUUCAUACAGAUGAAAGAAGAACACACUAAUUGGGGUGAACUAGAACAAGAAAGAAGAGGGCAUUACCUCUAGGCUGCCGGGUCGAUAGAGGCCUACUUAGAUCAAGAUGGGAAAUAUAUAAUAUGUGUUCCGGCGUUUGGAUGGAACGUUAGAUGGAAAACGAUUUGAACGUGUAGGAUUGAUACGAUGAUGGCGUGUUAUCUUGGAACUCGAAUGUAUGUACUGUAACAUUGCAUUACUCAAGCACCAGAACAACUGUAUUACACAAUGGGGUGCGGAACUAGUAAAUCCGGCAUGAAACAAUCAGAAAAAUCUAUGAAGGCGGCUUUACUGAUACAAAAAUGGUACAGGCGCUAUCAGGCGCGAUUGGAGGCCAGAAGAAGAUGUACGUGGAACAUUUUUCAGUCAAUUGAAUACUCUGGCGAACAAAACCAAUUAAAGUUGUACAACUUCUUUGAUGACAUGCUGACACAUCUGCAGAUGAACCCAGAGUCUAAUCAACAGUCCAACGUAGCGUCGAACAUGUUAUCUAUAUCGACACGACCACAUGAAAAUGGUAGCAACAGCAAUGCCGAAGAAGAAUUGCUUAAGAAUACUGAUCCGAGCAGGGUGAAGGUGAAUGCGAUGUAUAAAGGAGCAAAACUAACUGCCCCGAUGACAUCUGAACAGUUAACAUGGCUAAUAGAAGCCUAUCGAAACAAAGAGUUAUUACAUGCUAAAUAUGUGCUUUUUGUACUGCACGAAACAAGACGGAUGCUCAAACGAAGACCGAAUAUUAGUUAUGUGUCGACAGCAAUUACAAAGCAAAUUACAGUGUGUGGCGACCUCCAUGGCAAACUAGAUGAUCUCUUCAUUAUAUUUCACAAGAACGGCCUCCCGUCCCCAGAUAACCCAUACAUUUUCAAUGGAGACUUCGUAGACAGAGGCUGGCAAAGUGUAGAGGUCACCAUCCUUCUCUUUUGUUGCUCACUAGUGUAUCCCAACGAUGUAUUCUUGAAUAGGGGAAAUCAUGAAGAUCAUGUGAUGAACUUGAGGUACGGUUUUGUGAAGGAAAUCAUGUCGAAAUAUAAGGAACAUGCAACAAAGAUAGUUCGACUAUUUGAAGACGUUUUUAGUUGGUUACCCCUGGCAACCAUCAUCGAUAAUAAAAUAUUGGUUGCACAUGGUGGAGUCUCAGAUACGACAGACCUUGACUACUUAAAAACUAUUGACAGACAUAGAUUUUUGUCAUGUUUGAGACCUCCCGUUGACCGUACUUUGGCUCAAAUGGGUGGAUGUCGUGAAGAUGAUGAAGAGGACGAUGAUGCUGAUUUACAUUCCAUCAAUAGUCAAGACAGGAAUGAUCUAUGUGCCUGGCGACAGGUUUUAGAUUUACUUUGGAGUGAUCCGAAAAAUCAGAAGGGUUGUACACCUAAUACAUUCAGAGGAGGAGGGACAUAUUUUGGACCUGAUGUCACCGAAGCAGUAUUACAAAAACAUCGACUAGAUCUAUUGAUCAGAUCACAUGAGUGUAAACAAGACGGAUAUGAGUAUACGCACAAUGAUAAGGUGCUGACAGUUUUCUCUGCAUCUAAUUACUAUGAGAUGGGGAGUAAUAGGGGCGCUUAUGUAAAGCUAGGGACAGAUUUAAAACCUCAUAUAGUGCAAUAUAUGGCCACAAAAGACAGUGCAAAUAGAAAACUAACUAUUCAACAGAGAAUAAGUCUGAACGAAACGUCUGCACUGAGCACAUUGCGAACUAUGCUGAUCUCGUACCAAUUAGAUCUAUGUCGACAUUUUAAAAACAUUGAUCAAACUAAUGAAGGAAAGAUAACUGUUGCCGAGUGGUGCGCUGGUGUAGAAGAGGUCUUGCAGUUAGAGUUGCCUUGGAGAACGUUACGUCACAAAUUGGUGAAAUGUGACGAAGAUGGUAUGAUCGAAUAUGCCUCAGCGUUCGAUCAAUUUAAGAUUAUGCACAAGUUCAGUGAACAGGACUCUGCGUCUGGAAUUACAGAAACACUUUACAGGAAUAAAGAUAGUUUAGAAACCAUAUUCAGAAUCAUCGAUAAAGAUAAUUCAGGUGUUAUAACGAAUGAUGAGUUCGAAGAAGCCUGCAGCUUGCUCAGUAAACACAUUGGACUUCAAAUUCCUAAGGAACAGGCUCGCGAUCUUGCAAAAUGCAUUGAUAUAAAUAAAGAUGGACAAAUAGACUUCAAUGAGUUCCUUGAAGCAUUUAGAUUGGUUGAUCCUCAUGGGAAGGAUUUAACUGUGUCACAUAACCAACAAAAUGGUAGCAGUGGUGAAAUCACGUGAUAGAUUCACGUGAAGUCACGUGAAUGCUUAUAUGUCUAAUGUUUGUUUUUGAAAGGCCGACAUAUUGAUUUUCUUUUGAACAAGUAUGGCCUCAUAUUGCACAUAUAUUCAUUUUUAUUUUUAUUAAAUGUAUCUAAAGGUGAAAUAUGAUAACUGAUACAUUUCCCUUUGCUAGGGGAGCAUGAAUUUGUAGGGCCUCUAUUGUUUUUUUUAACUAGGGGAGAAAAUCUUGUUUAUUCAGCAAAAAAUCCUACUGAAUGGAAAAUAAUUCUUACGAACUUACGAAGAUAUAGCUAUUAAAAGGGACUAUGCAUUCGAUUCAUUUAAACAUUAUUUGGUAUACAAAUAUGCCUAGGUUUGUCUUUAUAUCACCGUUCAAAAUAAAUAAAAUUAUGUGUAUGUCUUUGAAUUGUUCGAGGCUAAUUUUUUGGGCGAGGACAAGUAUCAAACAAAGCUUUACUUAGAUUUCACAAGAUCUAGAUUUCAUUCUGCAUGCUUUGCAUGUUCUUAGACACUGUUCUCCUCAAAAAUAUGAAUAAUGUCCGUUAACGAGAAAACUUGUAUUUGGGUCACUUUUUGGAGGCUCCCCUGGGUAAUGCCGCAACGUAUUAGUCUCGAGAUGGACAUGUUAGUACCGCCAAAAGCGUGCGGGUAAUAUUUUCAAAAGAUAGAGACAAAAAGUUGCCUUUUUAAACGCAUGUUUAAUAUUAUUUAUUUUAUAUAAAAUUAGUUGACUUAAGUUGGCUAAAAACAAAAUAAAAAUGGUGCCGUUAAGAAAACUGUUUCAUCAGAGUAUCUGGAACUACAAUAGGAUGUGCUUCUUGGAAUACACAAAUGUGAAUAAAUACAUUAUCUUAUAUUCAAGACAAAAAUUGGUCGA
rnacentral:misc_RNA from 1 species